GACUCGGCUCGUCUCGGUUUAGUUGUUUUUCCAUAUAGCCUCAUCAUGGGUGGAGUCGUCAUAGCGCAGCGAGCCGAAAGUCCCUUAACGUCAUUUGUGUGCGACACAAACGCAACAUAGCGGAGACGAUGGUUCACCUGCUGCUCGGUCUGUGGCUUUCUGUCAGAUUCAAAGUAAUAGAAGAGUCAGAGAAAGCUGAGAGCAGCGAGUCGGAACACUCAGGAGACACACAGGAGAGUUUGGGAGGCGAUGCAGCAGUAUCAAGCCGAAGACAAGAGGAUAUGAACCAGACGACAUAUGAGGAUGCUCUCUUGUGAGACUUCAUGGGAUUUACCUGAAGCAGCAGCACAUGAGCCUGCAGUGGCACAAGGUGUAGAGGAGGAGGACAGAGAUGUACAGGAUGCACUGAUGCACUACGUCUCAUGCAAAAGUUAGAAGUUAUUCUUCUCGUUAUACUUCUAUUUUUCUGUCCCCGGACCGCUAUUGUUUUCUUUAAUGCAAUUCUGACAAUAAACUUUUGUACCUUUUGCAAAUGUGUCUGUGCUAUUGUUUUAUUUGUGAAGGUUAGCAAGAUUACAUGACAAAUUAAACACCAAAACAUUAAAACAGCUGUUUUAAGAAUAUUCCAGUUUGAUAAAUCAGUAUUGCUUUGGUGUAAUUCAGUCAACGGAAUUAUGAACCAUAAAGGAGUUUGUGUUAAAACAUGUUAAAUCCCAUUAAACAUAAAUGCAUUAUUAGGGAAUACAGAA